rnacentral:rRNA from 1 species
AUUGAACGCUGGCGGCAUGCCUUACACAUGCAAGUCGAACGGCAGCACGGGGGCAACCCUGGUGGCGAGUGGCGAACGGGUGAGUAAUGCAUCGGAACGUGCCCCGUAGCGGGGGAUAACCAGUCGAAAGACUGGCUAAUACCGCAUACGCUCCACGGAGGAAAGCAGGGGAUCGCAAGACCUUGCACUAUGGGAGCGGCCGAUGCCCGAUUAGCUAGUUGGUGAGGUAAAGGCUCACCAAGGCGACGAUCGGUAGCUGGUUUGAGAGAACGACCAGCCACACUGGGACUGAGACACGGCCCAGACUCCUACGGGAGGCAGCAGUGGGGAAUUUUGGACAAUGGGCGCAAGCCUGAUCCAGCCAUGCCGCGUGCGGGAUGAAGGCC